rnacentral:sRNA from 1 species
AUGAAGUAAGUUCAAUGCCCAGGUUCUUAGUUCUUUGUUGCAUAACCGAUUGUAUCUCUGAAGUAAGACUGCACCCUGCUUUGAAUUUGUAACUUGACUAUA